UGUUGAAUAACAAACCCAAAUGACCAGUUUUCUGAAUGGACACACUUAGUAUUCGGCUACCAAUAAGACCCCAAAACUAGAGAGAAGAAAGAAGCCAAAAGAAACAAUAAUCAUAAAAAAUUGGAAGUAAAACCACUCAAUUUCGGUACUCAAAGGAUUAUGACCGAAUUUGCAUAAUGGAAAAUCCCACUUUCAGCCAACUUCUACCACUUCACCCCCUCCUUGAUCCACUUCUCAAAUCUCUCCCUAAAUCUCUCCUCUC
rnacentral:lncRNA from 1 species